GUAGUCAUAUGCUUGUCUCAAAGAUUAAGCCAUGCAUGUCUAAGUAUAAGCAAUUAUACCGCGAAACUGCGAAUGGCUCAUUAUAUAAGUUAUCGUUUAUUUGAUAGUACCUUACUACUUGGAUAACCGUGGUAAUUCUAGAGCUAAUACAUGCUAAAAAUCCCGACUUCGGAAGGGAUGUAUUUAUUAGAUUAAAAACCAAUGCCCUUCGGGGCUCACUGGUGAUUCAUGAUAACUCCUCGAAUCGCAUGGCCUUGUGCCGGCGAUGGUUCAUUCAAAUUUCUUCCCUAUCAACUUUCGAUGUUUGGGUAUUGGCCAAACAUGGUUGCAACGGGUAACGGAGGGUUAGGGCUCGACCCCGGAGAAGGAGCCUGAGAAACGGCUACUACAUCCAAGGAAGGCAGCAGGCGCGCAAAUUACCCAAUCCCGACACGGGGAGGUAGUGACAAUAAAUACUGAUACAGGGCUCUUUUGGGUCUUGUAAUUGGAAUGAGUACAAUUUAAAUCCCUUA
rnacentral:rRNA from 1 species